AUUGAACGCUGGCGGCAGGCCUAACACAUGCAAGUCGAACGCGAAAGUUCCUUCGGGGGCGAGUAGAGUGGCGGACGGGUGAGUAACGCGUAGGAAUCUGCCCUGUAGUGGGGGAUAACCCGGGGAAACUCGGGCUAAUACCGCAUACGCCCCAAGGGGGAAAGCGGGGGAUCUUUCGGGACCUCGCGCUAUAGGAAGAGCCUGCGUCGGAUUAGCUAGUUGGUAGGGUAAAGGCCUACCAAGGCGACGAUCUAUAGCUGGUCUGAGAGGACGAUCAGCCACACUGGGACUGAGACACGGCCCAGACUCCUACGGGUGGCAG
rnacentral:rRNA from 1 species